rnacentral:lncRNA from 1 species
UUUCUAAAGUUCAGAUCCCUUUGAAACUGCGUCUAGACGUAAAAUUGCGUUUAGACGUAAAACUGCUCAAACUGUGUAAAGACGUUUUAGACGUAAACUGAGUUUAGACGUAAAUCUGCGUUUAGACGUAAAACUGCGUUUAGACGUAAAUCUGCGUUUAGACGUAAAACUGCGUUUAGACGUAAAUCUGAGUUUAGACGUAAA